rnacentral:lncRNA from 1 species
GGCACAGCCACCAAAAGCACUCGCUGUCGGCUGCCUCUCCAUUCCCAUUCCCACUCCCACAGGACCACCUGCUGCAAGGAAUCACAAAACUGCCAGAUGGGGGACAGGGAAGUGCUUCUGUUCCAGAUGUCUCUCUCAGGCUGCACCCUAGGCACCCAGUAGGUGUUUAAUCAUGGUUCAAUGGAAGGAUUGUUCCUCAACUGUGGGAUUUCAGAAGCAAAGACUGUAGGUAGGUAUUCGCCUGUUUUACAGAUUGGGAAACUGAGGCUUGAGAGGCAACAGAGGUAGAUAAUAGGUCCCCUGUGUUUGCUAAUCACCCUUCCAGCCAUGGAUCUGAGCAUAUGGUCAUUUCCGGUCCUAUAGGGGAGUUAUUGUUCAAAAAGAGGAUGGAAGACAGCUUCCUCACUUUGAGGAAUUGAGGAGAUUCAGAGCUACAAAGAACUCCUAGGGAGCUCUGAACAAUUUACUAAAAAGAAAAGAUAAGAGGAGGAAGACUAUGUAUUAGACCAGAGCUGAAAGGACAUUUCAGUCCAUAUGGUCUAGUGAGGUAUCUGCAAUGAUUAGGAAUUUUCUCAAGGACCAGACAACUUCUAAUAUAACUCAUGGCAACAAUGGUUUUUAUUUUUGGGACGUUCCCUGGGGCAGACCUGGUGCCAAAUCCUUUACCCAUAUUAUCUCUGCAGCGGAAAAGGGUACUGGUUAUGACUGUGGCCUUGGUGUCUGGACCGUCCUGGAUUCCAGUCCCGACCCCCUCAUCUCUCACCUAUGUGAUCUUGGGAGAAUUGCAGAACCUCUUUGUGCCUCCUGCUGUGUCUGGAUGUAACCAGGACUUAGAAGCUGCUUUUGCUAAAAACAUCCAGUCUUCACUUGGGCCUGCGAAUGUAAAAAGAUUGGCAUUUCUGCCUUCACUUUGCAUCUGUCUCCUUCGCUCUAAGUCAGUCACCUUGGAUUCCAGGAAUAACAGGUCUGAGUGAUGAACAUCUUGCGAGGAGUUGAAACUACCCAGCAGGCAACAGCAACACUCUUUUCUCAGCCAAGUCCCCACCUGACCAAUCCUGAGAUAAUGAUCAAUUAGACUACAGGUGGACUAGAAAUGCUUGACUGUAUGCUCUGGUCCUCCUUAUUUAUGUAAUCUGGGAUCCCAUGUGAGUACCACUGAAGAUAGAGCUGGAAACACUGGUCCCCUUGUCUUCCUGGCAUAGCUAUAAUGAUUAAAGUUCCUUUCUUGCUUUUCACCCUUACUUUUCUGGUUUGUCUUCCUCCCUCCUUCC